rnacentral:rRNA from 1 species
UACGAAGGGAGCUAGCGUUGUUCGGAAUCACUGGGCGUAAAGGGUGCGUAGGCGGGUCUUUAAGUCAGGGGUGAAAUCCUGGAGCUCAACUCCAGAACUGCCUUUGAUACUGAAGAUCUUGAGUUCGGGAGAGGUGAGUGGAACUGCGAGUGUAGAGGUGAAAUUCGUAGAUAUUCGCAAGAACACCAGUGGCGAAGGCGGCGCGCUGGACCACUACUGACGCUGAAGAACGAAAGCUAGGGGAGCAAACAGG